CUACACAGUUGAGAUCUGUUGGAUGUCUCUCGCUGUGAGCUCACAGUGAGAUUAUGAGGAGGUGGCUUCCUCGCUGUGAGCAUCAUGCAAAAGCAUCCACGUGCAAACUGUUGUCUCUCCCUUUCAAUAUCUUCCUGCAGUAACCUAGUAACUUUUGGGUUUGCUACUCGGCAUUCACUUCCUACAGCUAAGAUACCACUGGGUGGCAUGCAAGGACAAUGGCAGUUGUUUAAUCCACUUUAUCCACUGAGUGCAGGACGCAUUUCAUCCUCAUUCAGAAAGUGCCCUGUGAACAGCUGAUGAGCAGCUGGUCUCCCCAACACAUUCAGGGGAGCCAUCUCUAAUUGUCUAAUUAUCUAAUACACACUCAACCUGCUCUCCUCCCUUGUUGCUUUUCAUGUGCAUCACUGUCCAACAAUAAAUGCUCAACAAUUUCACUUUUUAUUUUCAGAAUUAUGUAUUGUGAGGGGAAGCCUUAAGAUGAAGAUUCUAAUUUCUUCCUAAAAAUCUUUUAGGACUUUUCUUUUUCCUCAUUGCCUGCAGAAUGUUCUCUCUUUCCUCUCACGUUCUAUGUGUGAAACUGUCUUGUUUUCGCUUUGCAGGAGUUGUUUGUGGAAACCAUAGCCAAAGAUGCUUACGUAUAUGCUCAGCAAGGAAAGAGGAAAACUCUGCAGAGAAAAGACCUGGAUAAUGCCAUUGAAGCUAUUGAUGAAUUUGCCUUUUUGGAAGGUACUUUGGACUGAGCUGAUCAGAGAAGGAGCCCUGCGGAGAAAGACUGCAGAGAUGGACACAGGGUGGAAAACAGAAUGAUGAGAGUUUGAAAAUAUUUCAACGUCUCAGUCCUAGGAACUGGCAACCAUAAUGUUUUGUAUAAAGUUUAAGUUGUUGUAAGUUCAUUAUUUAAAAUACAUAUGUUUUCAUAAAUAUUUUGUAUAUCAUUUACCAGGGCCCUGCAGUCAUGGUGAAAAGUACUCCCCAGCUUUCAUCAUGUAACACAGCAGUUGCUCAGAGUAGCUGUACCUGCCGCUCUCCAGGCACUCUGCAGCAAUAUGAAGCCUUCUGUGGGGAGCAGACUGGCUCAGAUGUCCAGGCAUGUUUUUUUAAUGAAAAUGUAUUUUUCUUUGUAUAUGUUUGUCUCUUUGUCAAACACAAUUAAAUUUGUUGUUGAAUAGCU